rnacentral:tRNA from 1 species
CGAUUUAUAUGCUAAAUAUAACUUGACUUUUAAUCAAGUUGUCCCGGGUUCGAGUCCCGGGUGUCUCA